GCUACGCCCUUCUGCAAACCCUCAUCCCUUUUGCAAAUCCUCUCUCCCCUUAUGCAAACGAUGUCAAACUCCAGCGGAAACGAUAAGGAUGUAGUCCGAUUUCAAACAGUUUUCCCGAAUCAUGACUCUAAUCUAACUAGUGAAGAAGAUGGAGAUUCACAUGUUCCCUCAAGGUGAAUGACCAUUGUUGCGUUCAAGUCGGAGCUUGGAGGAUGGGAACAGAAAUGGUUAGAUCUGGCGGCGCCGCCCUUAUCCGCUUCAACCAUAAAACCGUCAAAAAUGUAUUGUCUUAGCGACAUGGACGCCGUUCUCUACAUCGACCGUAAACCCAAGGUAAUCUAUCUAUCUUCACGUCUCUCUUUUUUCGAUUUCAAUUUUUACUUAACCUAAUUAUUAUUAAUUUUCCUAAAUAUAAUUAAUUAAGAGAAAUUAAAUUAAAUGUGGUAGUGGUGUUGAUGUGUUAAAUUUGAUUUUUAUUUGGUUUAGGAGUAGUUACUUUAACCUUUGAGCAGGAUCUUGAUUGGGGUGGCACUGAUAACUAUUAUGAUAAAGUUGGUGUCGGUGAUAUUGCUAUCAGUACUCCAGAAUGGGUUUGGAAAUUAAAAAAUUUAGGUGUGAAUUUUCUUCCUUUGAUAGUGGCUUGUGUAUUUGUUAUUUUCUCCCACAUUAGGCAUAGAACCAAAUAAUUUCUCAAAAGGCUUGGUCUAUAAUUUAUUCAUCAAUCAUUCAUGAGGAAUAUGACUAAGGAAUUGUUAUUUGCUGGUACUAUUGUUUAAAUUUUGUUGUUAACUAUGAUUGAUGUGUUUUAAAUUUCUUGAAAAUGUUAACGUGGUGAGUUAGUUGUGAAGAUGUAUUGCUUGCUCAUCAACAUCAGAAUCACCAUCAGCAGCAUGGAUCCAACGGCGAGAAUAAGACUAUGUGGAUUGGAGAUUCGCAUAACUUGAUGGAUGGGAAUUAUCUUCAUUGUUAUUUUGCUUCCACCAGCGAGGUAUCAAUGAAAAUAACGAUAAGGACGACAACACAAGUGACGAAUUUCAAGAGGACAACUUAAAUGACGAGGACGACAUAAGUGACGAAUUUUAAGGGGACAACAUAGAUGAUGACCUUCAAGAAGACUACUUAGGUGAUAAAGAGGAUGAUGGAGAUGGCGAUGAGUUCGACUAAUUUAAAUGAGUUGGAUGUUGUUGUUUUAGGCUUCUACUUAAGCAUUAAACUUCUACUUAAGCAUUUAAAUGAGUUGGAUGUUGUUGUUUUAGGCUUCUACUUGAAGAAACAAUGUAUUUUGUCAUUUUUCUAGACUAAACUUCUAGUAUUAAGUAAUGUUAUAAGUUUUGUGUUUA